rnacentral:rRNA from 1 species
GAUAAACGCUGGCGGCGUGCUUCAUGCAUGCAAGUCGUACGCUCCACCGCAAGGUGGGGAGUGGCAAACGGGUGAGUAACACGUAAGUAACUUGCCCCUAAGUGGGGGAUAACCCCGGGAAACCGGGGCUAAUACCGCAUGUGGUCCUUCCACUUAUGUGGAAGGACUAAAGCCGUAAGGCGCUUGGGGAGAGGCUUGCGUCUGAUUAGCUAGUUGGUGGGGUAACGGCUCACCAAGGCGAAGAUCAGUAGCUGGUCUGAGAGGACGGUCAGCCACACUGGGACUGAGACACGGCCCAGACUCCUACGGGAGGCAGCAGCAAGGAAUUUUGUGCAAUGGGCGGAAGCCUGACACAGCGACGCCGCGUGAGUGAUGAAGGCCUUCGGGUUGUAAAGCUCUUUUACCAGGGAUGAUAAUGACAGUACCUGGAGAAUAAGCUCCGGCUAACUCCGUGCCAGCCGCCGCGGUAACAC